CUCUGCAGUUUGCAUUCUUGUAAUAGUUUUAGCUUCAAGUGCCUACAGCCUGGAACAUUUGGCUAUGUCAGUAUUUGUAAUCUCAACAUGUCUGGGAAUAUCCUCCUGCACUGAGACCAAAUGACCCAGAAUAGCCCAUGUCCAACUGCCGGACUUGUUCGAUCUCCAAUAAAGGAUGCCUGCUUCCAAACUGCCUGCAGAGAAUAUUCACUAUAGUCUCACCUUCUUCUUCUAUGAUGUUCCUUCCUAAUCCUGCCCUGCAAUUCAUUUUGCAUUGCCUGUCGAGUUGCAAUGGAAUUCCCAUGAUGUUUUCACUGACUGCCUGGGCAGCAUCCAUCAGAGAAAUGGAGCAAGGAUAUGUUUCUACAGAAUAAAGCGGUCUGAAAUGCCCUGCUGUCACAGCACAAAACCAAGAGCACCUCUUCAUCUUCCCUCCGGCCAACGAAAGGGGACAGGAUUUUCAGUGAAACCCAGAUGUUGCUGUGAGUAUAUGUGUGCAUUUAUUAACAGAUAAUAGUGGAGGACUGCAAUUUAUAUCUGCAGAAGCUGAAAUAAUUAAGGAGGGUUGGGUAUUAAUGGAUGUAUGUUUUGAACAAUCUCAAAAACUUCUUUGUGUGGAAAAUUAAGAUCCUUGCUGAUAUUGAAAUAUCUCAGAUUGUUGUAAACCCAUGUUUCUAAUAUUUUAACUGGGAAUCACUUUCAUGGUCCGGCACUGCUGAUGCUGCCCCUUCAGAAGCCAGAAAAUGUCAGAUAUCUCAGUAUUUUCAGGAUUGUUUUGUUCCCAUUCAGGCUGACAGACAAAAAGGAGGGUUCUGAGGGAAGCUCUUAUUUCCUCCCUUCCCAUCUCCCUUUGCUCUUGGAAUAGCACCAUUGUACAGCACCGUUAUGCCAAAUUUUUUACAUAGAGACAGACUGGCCUGUCCCACAUUGUCAUUUCGACACUGUUUUUAACAAAGAUGUAUUUUCUGAGGAUCAUGUUUGAGAAUAAAUGGCUUUGGGUCUAGCACUAGUAAAAGAAGAAAAGCAAAUCCAAAGAACCCACUCAUUGAGUUCAGAGUAGCUACAGGGCAAUGCUGCAUCUUGCUUUUUAGGUGAAAUCUGCAAUUUUGUUUAUCCAGAGCAAUCUGUAACAGCUCUAUGGUAAAGCUGCUUUGAGGUUUAGUUUUGAAGUUUACUGCUCCCAGUUUUCAUUUAUUCCAUCAUAAUACAUGCAUAAAACAUUUUUAUUAUGUGGAUAGUAAUUUGCAUGAGCACGAGGACUUUAGCUCAAAUGCUCAUGAACAAGACUGUUCUUCAGUCGGGUCAACUGGAAGUUAUUCUGCUUUACUACAGGGCUUUCAGUUAAUUAAAUUCAAAGAACCUGUUCAACUGCUAAGGCCUGUUAUACUCCAGAUAAGGAAAAAAAUACAUUUUUUCAUCAGUCUCUGGGGACAGACACUGCUGAUGCUCCUCCUGCUGUAGCCACAAUACAGUGGGCCACAAUACAAGUGAAAAGGAGGAAGAAUGUCCUGCCCAAAGUAUUUCAGUGGGACAUACACGUCUGUGAUGAACACAGAAAGGACUAUUCAGAUGCAUUGUGUUAUAUGGAAUGAACUACAUUUCUGAUCUUCUAAUGCAAUGAAUAUUGUGCUCUGCAAGUAAUGUAAUUAACACAGGAAAAGAGGAGUGAACUGCAUUUACAGUAGAAGUGAACUUUACCUAAAAUUAUCAUUUCAGAAAAUUGACUGUUCUUCUAACUGUUGGUAAUUAUUUUUUCCUUUUUUUUCUUGAGUUCCUCUUUAUUUGGAUAGGUAAUAAAAUUAGUUUUGAUCCUGCACACUGAAGGAGAAACCCUAGUGGCCACAUUCUGACUCUACUUGAACUAGUGUAGGAGCUCAUACGGAAAAUUAAGUGAAAAUCAAUUAACAGUUGCCCCGGGCAUUUGAAACAAAUGCCAGGAAUCCCUAAAUGUUUCUCAGUUCUGUAUAAAUCAUAGCUGACAAGUGGUGGUAUCUCUGCUUCCACUGAAAAUUUGCUUUGUUACAGUGAAAAUUCUUUUAUUAUAUAUAGUUGCUGAUGUACAUAUAUAUAUGUAUUAACCGUCUACAUUUUCUCAUGUGCAUCUUCCAUAAAUCUCCUUUUGAGUCUCUUCCAAAGAAACUAACCUAUGCUUUUGAAGAAAAGAUGACUACCUGGUUGAAGAAAAGGAGUAAUGGAGAACACAUUCUUCAAGACAGAAAUCUUCCAGACUUCUCCCAGGUUUAAUUGGAGGUGCUUUGUAAACCUUUGAUGGUUAAGGACACCAGAUUUUGGAGUGAAAUGCUGGUAUCCCAGAAGCUUGAAAGCACAAAAGAAACAGCUUGUGGAAAAUCUGUGAAGUCCAUCUAUUUCUACAAUAGGAUUAUUCAUCACCACAUGUUUUCCCCAUCUGGAAGUAAAGGGACAAAAUGCUGAAACCACCACCGUCUCACUUGCAAAUUGCUCCACAGUCUAACCAGUCAUGCUAUUGAGAAGAUAUGCCUGCAGUUCAACCCAAAUUCUCUGUUGCUGUGUUUUGCACAUGUUCAACAAACUCAGCUUCCUUCUUGCGGUGAGGAGUACUCAAGAUGUGGUCUUAUCAGUGUCAAGCAUUGAGGGACAAGCAGAACAAUUCAAAGGCUAUGACUAUCCUUGAGACCUUGUAGCACCUGCACCUACAGAAACUGUCCACAGAGACCUUACCGGACCAUGUUUUAUUGUCAUUGUUUCUGGGCAAAGGUUUUAUAAUGCAGCAGUGGAGUCCAUCUUGCUGAAGCAAUGGAGACAGAUAGUGAUGGAGCUGCCAGAACAACCUGUAAAUUAUCUGCCCUAAAAUCCUCAAAGAGCACUUUGUGCUGAAAAGAAGGCUGUUCAAGGCAGGAGGGGAAGAAUUUGAUCUUGCCUACAUUUGUUGUACAGGAACAGAAAGGAGGAGUGCUUUAUUCAUCAAGUGAACACAGCACUUUAAAAAUUCAACUAAGUCAAUAUAGGAAUACGUUUAAAAUGUAUUCACCUUCAGAGAGAGAUUUCCUGGACUGACAGAACUGCCAAUGGGUAUGAGUUAUUGCUUAGCAAAAGUUGCUGCAAAGGAUGCUGUACCCAUCACCCCUGUGAAGGGGUCUUAUGUGGAACAAGCUGCUAAGAAAGUUAUGGCCAACAGAAGUUCUGCCUUUGACUGGUGCUUUGGUAACUACCUGUGGGGAUAGUCUGCUGUUAUUCUAUUUUUCUUCCUUCUUUGUCAGAGAAAAUGGCAGUCUGGUGACAGUGUUCUUGAGAAUAGCAACUUCAUUCUACCAGGUUCUGCUGGUAGAGUAGAAGUGGAAAGUCCUGCCUGAGAACGUGCAUUGUAGAAGCACUGUUCCCAAAGCUGGCAGCUCUGCCAAAACCCAGAACAUGAGUGCUUUGGGGAUGCCCUGGUAGGAACUUAGGUCAGUGCUGGCCUUGGGCCAUCCAGAGUAAGAUGUGAACUGCCUGGACUACGGCAUUACUGGGCAGAAAGAGUGUCUGAUCCCUUCAUGAUUUCAACUUCAGAUUUGCACACCUUAUAUUUACCUCUGAGUACUUUGUAGCACAGUUUGAUAUUUAUGCUUUGACUUUAAUUCAGAAAGAAUCUGGAGAGGAAUAAGAGAGAGGCUAAAAAUGUGCAAGACAAAAAAUACAUGUGUGAUUUCUGAAAUCUGACAGUGUUUAGGAGGGGAAAUAGAAGCUACACUGCUGAUUAUUUUACUUUAUUCUCCCAAUUGAAUGUGAUUUUUUUUGUUUUGUUAUUUUUUAUUUUUCUUUCUAUGCUAUGUAUGGAUGAUACCAGGCCAGUUCCUACCCAAAGGCUUGCUUAAGUGCUUUCAAUCUUACUUGCUUACCUUGCAUCUACAGUAACAAGGAUUCAGUUGUGAGUAAGCCUCAGCAUGUUACUUUAGUUCAAAUGAUUUCUAACUGGAAUAUCAGUGAAUCUUUACCUUCAGGUCAUCCGUGCUCUUUUGUAAGAAUGAAUUUCAGUAGCUUAAAAAUGCUCAGAGUUUGUGAAUGACAAUGAUAACUCACUGCUAUGAAACUUCCUGUAAGUGUGCACCCAUCUCCCUAAAUAAGUAGAAAUGGGUUUCAAAUAACAGGCUCUUCUGUUUAUAAGAGUGGUAAUUAGAAGUGCAUUAAGGAAACCCUCAUUUCAGAAGCAGGCGUAUGAUAUCUAUGAAGUUUCCUGCUUUUUUCCUUUUCUAUAUAUGUUUGAGGCUCCUGAUUGUCUAAUGAGAUUAGGGUAAAUUUGAAAUUAAUUGUAUCUUGUAUAUGUUUUUGAAAUAACAGGCAUAAAGCUACAUUAACUUGUUUUCAUUUGUGAAAGCAGCCUGUUUUCCUUGGUACGUAAGUAACUUCAUGGUUACUAAAGUCUUACUUAUACCCUUUGAAUUGUAUGAGCAAACCUUUCUCUAUUUUAUGUGUUCAUGAAGAUAUUGAAGAAAUAUCAGCAGCUUUGUAUGCAAGUAGAUGAGUGAAGUUGGCAUUUAAACUCUUGAAAAUUACAUAACAGCUACUAGUGUUAAGAAAUUAUAGAUAUGAUGAAGGAAGAGCUGUGAAUUUACAUUUAGAAAUUAACCCAGCUGGGUUUUGUGUGUGAGUGAAAGGUGAAGGAGAGAUAUUUUUAAAAGCUAUUAUUGUGCAUCAGCAAGGUGUGUGUCAUUAACUAAUUAUUUUGAGAAUGCCUUACUAAGACAGUGGUGGUAAUUAGUCUUUAGAUUUGUAGAAGGAAUGUGAUAUUCCUUUUAAUUGGGAAAGUUUUCCUGCCUCUGGGCACGCGCCCUGAAGUGGAGAGGGGGGGAGAGUAGAGGAGAAGGGAAAGUAGGAGGGGAGUGGAGGGAAGAGGUGAGGAAGGAAGGAGACUCAGUGGACUUUAAGAAUUGUCCAUCCUUUUCCAAAAUAAUCAGCAGUGCUACUGAAAAGCCUUCCUUCUGAAUGAUAUUAUCCUAUCCUAACAUUACUUUGAAGUUUUCUACCCCUAGAUGAAUUCUACAUUCAUUAAUGUCAGCAAGCCUUUUUUUUUUCUGGACUAUUGAGGCCAUCUUUCCUGCAAAUGACCUUAACAGCUGCAAAGAGAAAAGAUAUGAUAACAUUACAUUAAAACACACACUAUGGUAGUUCUCUGAAAAUUUGGAGAUUUUGUUAGGUUUCUGGCUGAGUUUAUGAAUUUACUGUAUGCAAAGCUGCAAUGGAUUUUUCAGUUCCCUCCACUAGUUCCCCCAAGCCUCAGGUUACGAGAGAAAAGCCAAAAAUGCAGGGCAAUGUCAAUUAUAGGAUAGCCAGGGGCAUUAUGUUCCCCUCUCCCAAGCUGUUCUCAGCAUUGACUUAUUGCCACAUUUCAGAGAACAAAUUAAGAUGCUCUGCAGUGAUGGAUCCCAAAAACUUGUUUGUCCUGAGAGCCAAGGAAGAGAAAAAGGUGUGGCAAACAGUGAAUGCACCAGAACACAUGAAGCUAAGGGGAUGUGGAAAUAUAAUGCUGAAAUACCCAGUCUAUCUUUCCUUCUCUGCCCUAACCUACAGGAGAAAUAAAAUCAGUUAUAUGUUUUGACUUUCUGUGAAAUAGAGGGAGCAUUAGACCUUCUGCAUUCAAGGGGGGAACCAUGGACAUAAGAAUAGCUGUUUAUCUUCAUUUGUGGUCUUGGAGAUGAAUAAGGAAUGAGUGACGAUGUGUAUUCACUACUGAGUACAUAACACAACUGUUCGAGAGAAGAUGCAGGUUUCCAAAAUCUACCAGCUGCCAUGCACUGGGCUAGUUUGGCAACGUCCAUCUUACCACUCGUGAAAGUAGGCCUUCGCAUAUUUGUGUAAUUCAGCAAAGGAUGUGGUCAAAUUAUUGCCUUUGUCUCUUUUUAUUCUGAAUUACCUCAAGAACUAAGGUCAAAUAAGGAAAAACUAUCCCACAGCAAAAGAGAGAAGAAGCAAAGACAUGCUGGUUAGCUUCUCACUGUCUGCUAAACUGCAUGAAGUCUACUUGAAAUCUCUGAUCUACACUAACAUACCAACUUAAAAAAAAUCCACAAAUGCUAUACCCUGCAACUAGAUAAGUAGGCAGCUGGGUUAAACUUGUAGAUAGUGAGUCAGGCUCCUCAGAUUCUGGGGAAGACUGAAGAUGAGAGGAAGCAGAGUAACUGCUGGCCCUUUGGUAUGGAACACAGGCAAAGUCAGGGGACAACAAUGGCAAAAGUUCCCUGGUCUAUGGGGUAUUUGGGACGUGAAUCCCCUUCCUGAGGGUGAAAGUGGUGCCUGAAAGAGUCAUGUACAGAGGUCAGUGCGUUAGGCUGGUGAGUGUCCAGGAGGAAACACUCCUGGAGGACAGCAAUACAAUAAGUUUAAGAAAAAAAAAGGCCAGAACAUAAAUUCUUGCCACCCUUUAAAAUUUAACAAUAUUAAGCAUAAUCAUUUGGCAGUUCACUUAAUCUCAGUGGCAAAAAUAACUGGUUAUACGUUAUUAUUGAAGAUUAAAAUCUUAAAUCUUCCAUCAAGGCGGGGAGGGAGCAGGAGGUGCUAGAUAUGACUUUUGUCAUAUCAGGACCCUAAUGAAUUCUGCAAAAAAAGAAUUCUUAUGAAAUAUCCUUUCCAUUCAGCUAUUAUCUUUGGCUGUAGCAAUUACUCAUUUGCUCUAAACUGAAAUCCAACAACAUGAAGCACAGCUAUUCUCUUUCAAACUAAAAUCAGUAUUGGCAGGAUGACUGAAAGUAUUUGCUUCCAUUAAAGGCAAAAUAUGUCCUAAGUGGUCACAAGUGUGCCAUCUUCCUCAGCUGUCAGUGCCUAAUUUGAAAUAUUUAAUUUAAAACAUUUUUAAAGCAGGCUGGUUGUCUCUGUUGCUCUGAGCUUACAUCUCCUACAUUCUAUUUCCAAUACCUGCCCCCAGAUCCAUUGGCUGCUUCUGAUGUGCUAAUGCAUUUAGAAAUGUGACUUUCCUCAUCUAUGCUAGACAAAAAGUCUAAUGCAAGAUCAUGUUGGUGAGUUCAUUCUAGAACACCAUCUUCUCUGGCCUUUUGUUAUGGGAGAAGCAACAGGAAGGAAACUGAGCUCCAACUACUGCUCCAGUAUGGUCAGCAAGAUGCACAGGAGGGAAAUUCUGUACCCAGCUUGUGGAAGGUAUGGCAUGCCUCUUUCAGAUCCUCCUCAGAAGGGCAUCUACAUCACAGUAGUGCGGCCAAAGAUGUGGUGGAGAAGCCAUGAGAGAGGAGUCCCAGAGAUAACCUCAUAAUCCAUAGAAUCAUAGAAUCAUUAACAUUGGAAAAGACCUCUACGGUAAUCUAGUCCAACCACCAAUCUGUCCCCACCAUGCCCACUAACCACCUCCGUAAGUUCCACAUCUACACCUUUUAUUAACACCUCCAGGGACUCCACCACUUCCCCGGGCAGCCUGUUCCAAUGCAUUAACACUCUUUUGGAGAAUAAUUUUUUCCUAAUAUUGAACCUGAACUUCCCCUGGCACAACUUAAAGCCAUUACUUCUUGUCCUAUCACUAACUACAUGGGAGAAGAGGCCAACCCCCAUCUUGCCACAGACUCCUUUCAGGCAGUUGUAGAGGGCAAUAAGGUCUUCCCUGAGCCUCCUCUUCUCCAGACCAAACAAUUCCAUUUCCCUCAGCUCACCCCAAGACCUGUGCUUCAGAUCCUGGAUUAAUCUUCUGUGCACUUGAAUAAAAAUGUAGUUUCUACUGAAAGACAAAACUUUUCAUGCAAAGAGAGGACAAUUCUGUUUAAAAACAACAGUAAGUACAUCAGAGACAUUGUAUUCAUCCUACAUUCUGAAAAAAAAAAAAAACCAAUAAUAAAGCUCUAUCUAGAGAACUGUGGAAGGAAAAAAUUUUUUGAUAUCUUUUUUUUCUAAACAAUUAAAGCUGAAGCAUUCAGCAUUUUGGAUCCAGUGUAAAUCCUCGCAUUCCUGGGCAAUAUAUAUACAUAUUUUCUGUCAGCAAAUCCUUAGUUUCCACAUUAGUUAAUGUUCCACCUGCUGUAUAAACCCAGAGAAGCUGUCUCUUGCAACUGUAGUGUUCCCUUCUGGCAGUCCUUUUUUCUUCCUUUUUCUUCUGUCAAAUAUGCAGAAAAUACCUUUGAAAAUGUACACAGUGUUCACAAUAAAUGGAAAUAACACAGAUGCACGCGUGUACAUUUAUGGAAGUGUAAUAAUUCUGAGAACAGUACAGAGAGCUCAGUUAACAGACUACAGUAAACGAUGCCAGGUUACCUAAACCUCAUAGUCCCAAAAGGAAGGAUUUUAGACAGCUUGCUGAUGUUCACAGUGUCAUGACGUAUGUCAGCACCAAGCCCACGUAACGGGUUUAAAUGAUCUAUUGACCUCCAACGGAUAUUAUGAACAUGGGUAUCAUCCUUCAUUGUUAAUAAAAAGGGAACCAACUGAGACAUUUUGAUUCUUGUUUGUCCUGCUUCACCGUUAUUCAGACCCUUCCAUAUUGGAAAAGCAUGAAGAGACAGCAAGCAGUUUCAAUUCAGUGUUUCUGAACUGGGG
ensembl:lncRNA